CCGCUUCAUACCCACACUUCAUCCUCCUCAGUUUCUCUCCAGGCCACCAUGUCUGCAGGCAACGGCACCCCUUGGGGUCAGCAGCGGGGGAGGAGGUCUGGGCUGGAUCAGGAGUGGAGGUGGAGGGCUCAGAGCUGCCCACCUUCUCGGCAGCAGCCAAGGUCCGAGUGGGAGUGACCAUUGUGCUGUUUGUUUCUUCGGCUGGAGGGAACCUGGCAGUCCUGUGGUCAGUGACACGGCGGCAACCCAGCCAGCUCCGCCCCUCUCCGGUCAGGAGACUCUUCACCCAUUUAGCAGCCGCCGACUUACUAGUCACUUUUGUGGUUAUGCCCCUAGAUGCCACCUGGAAUAUCACUGUUCAAUGGCUGGCUGUGGACAUCCCAUGUCGGACACUCAUGUUCCUGAAACUAAUGGCCACGUAUUCUGCAGCUUUCCUGCCUGUGGUCAUUGGAUUGGACCGCCAGGCAGCAGUACUCAACCCGCUUGGAUCCCGUUCAGGUGUAAGGAAACUUCUGGGGGCAGCUUGGGGACUUAGUUUCCUGCUUGCCUUGCCCCAGCUGUUCCUGUUCCACACCGUCCACUGAGCUGGCCCAGUCCCUUUCACUCAGUGUGUCACCAAAGGCAGCUUCAAGGCUCAAUGGCAAGAGACCACCUAUAACCUCUUCACCUUCUGCUGCCCCUUUCUGCUGCCACUGACUGUCAUGGCCAUCUGCUAUAGCCGCAUUGUCCUCAGUGUGUCCAGCCCCCAGACAAGGAAGGGGAGCCAUGCCCCUGCUGGUGAAUUUGCCCUCCCCCGCUCCUUUGACAAUUGUCCCCAUGUUCGUCUCCGGGCCCUGAGACUGGCCCUGCUUAUCUUGCUGACCUUCAUCCUCUGCUGGACACCUUAUUACCUACUGGGUAUGUGGUACUGGUUCUCCCCCACCAUGCUAACUGAAGUCCCUCCCAGCCUGAGCCACAUCCUUUUCCUCUUGGGCCUCCUCAAUGCUCCUUUGGAUCCUCUCCUCUAUGGGGCCUUCACCUUUGGCUGCCGAAGAGGGCACCAAGAACUUAGUAUAGACUCUUCUAAAGAAGGGUCUGGGAGAAUGCUCCAAGAGGAGAUUCAUGCCUUUAGACAGCUGGACGUACAAAAAACUGUGACAUCAAGAAGGGCAGGAGAAACAAAAGGCAUUUCUAUAACAUCUAUCUGA
rnacentral:sRNA from 1 species